rnacentral:lncRNA from 1 species
ACAGUUUAACCCUUUUUGGCACUCUCAGAAGCCCAAGCACAGAGUUCAGAGAAAUGUGAGCACCUGUAUGAAGAGAAGAUGGGUGCAAAGGAAUGAGUGGGGGUUCCUCUUCACCAUCCCUAAAACUGUGGCAGUAUUUAGCAGCAUCGUUGAUGAGGCUGGUCUCAGAACUGUGCAAACAUCUGCCCUGCCUGGCCUCUCAAUGAAAAAGCUUCUACCUCUUAACAGGUAUUUCCACCAACUCGCUGGCCACCUCCCUGUUACAGAGAGAGAGAGAGAGAGAAAAGAGAGAGAACUCUGUAGCAAGAAGACACAUGGUAAGUCGUACUUCUUUGUCCUUUUCUGGAAAUCAUGAAUGUGAAUGUCAUUUGCAGCAUGCAUUCGUGUAGUGGAUGGAAGUUCUCCACGGACCAGGCUUUCUUCAAGGCCUUGACACCAACGUGACCCUGACCGACAUUUUCCUUUUUCGUCAUGGCUGUACUUUUCCAUUUAAAUAAGAUGCAAGCCCAUUUCCAUGGGGAUUCCAGGAAGUCUGGAAGGAGUGAUAAAUAGGAAUGUCAUCUUUGUAUCACAUCACCCCGAAGGACUUUGCUGUGACAGUUGUAAUGUGGUGCCCGGAAGGGUGAAGGAACCACAUAAAGUGCCCAGAGCAGAUGGCUGAUGGCCGGCUCCUCACUGGUGCAUGCCCAGUCUCCCCAGCCCCCAAGUCCCUCACCGCCAGCUGGAUUCCUGUCCUACCAUAGGAGACUUGGAGCUUCCAACAACAUGCUAAUAUUUUCUUUUUAAAUAAAAACGUCACUUUUCUGGAAGGCCUAAUAUAAACAGCUUCUACUCUUAAGUCUCCAAGAAGAGAUGCUGG